UUCGCCCUUAGAGUUUGAUCCUGACUCAGGACGAACGCUGGCGGCGCGCCUAACACAUGCAAGUCGAACGGAACUUGAGAGAGCUUGCUUUUUCAAGUUUAGUGGCGAACGGGUGAGUAACGCGUGAGUAACCUGCCCUGGAGUGGGGGACAACAGUUGGAAACGACUGCUAAUACCGCAUAAGCCCACAGUGCCGCAUGGCACAGCGGGAAAAGGAUUUAUUCGCUUCAGGAUGGACUCGCGUCCAAUUAGCUAGUUGGUGAGGUAACGGCACACCAAGGCGACGAUUGGUAGCCGGACUGAGAGGUUGAACGGCCACAUUGGGACUGAGACACGGCCCAGACUCCUACGGGAGGCAGCAGUGGGGGAUAUUGCACAAUGGGGGAAACCCUGAUGCAGCGACGCCGCGUGGAGGAAGAAGGUUUUCGGAUUGUAAACUCCUGUCGUUAGGGACGAUAAUGACGGUACCUAACAAGAAAGCACCGGCUAACUACGUGCCAGCAGCCGCGGUAAAACGUAGGGUGCAAGCGUUGUCCGGAAUUACUGGGUGUAAAGGGAGCGCAGGCGGACCGGCAAGUUGGAAGUGAAAUCUAUGGGCUCAACCCAUAAAUUGCUUUCAAAACUGCUGGCCUUGAGUAGUGCAGAGGUAGGUGGAAUUCCCGGUGUAGCGGUGGAAUGCGUAGAUAUCGGGAGGAGCACCAGUGGCGAAGGCGGUCUACUGGGCACCAACUGACGCUGAGGCUCGAAAGCAUGGGUAGCAAACAGGAUUAGAUACCCUGGUAGUCCAUGCCGUAAAGGAUGAUUACUAGGGGUUGGAGGAUUGACCCCUUCAGUGCCGCAGUUAACACAAUAAGUAAUCCACCUGGGGAGUACGACCGCAAGGUUGAAACUCAAAGGAAUUGACGGGGGCCCGCACAAGCAGUGGAGUAUGUGGUUUAAUUCGAAGCAACGCGAAGAACCUUACCAGGUCUUGACAUCCGAUGCAUAGUGCAGAGAUGCAUGAAGUCCUUCGGGACAUCGAGACAGGUGGUGCAUGGUUGUCGUCAGCUCGUGUCGUGAGAUGUUGGGUUAAGUCCCGCAACGAGCGCAACCCCUAUUGUUAGUUGCUACGCAAGAGCACUCUAGCGAGACUGCCGUUGACAAAACGGAGGAAGGUGGGGACGACGUCAAAUCAUCAUGCCCCUUAUGUCCUGGGCUACACACGUAAUACAAUGGCGGUCAACAGAGGGAUGCAAAACCGUAAGGUGGAGCGAACCCCUAAAAGCCGUCUCAGUUCAGAUUGUGGGCUGCAACCCGCCCACAUGAAGUCGGAAUCGCUAGUAAUCGCGGAUCAGCAUGCCGCGGUGAAUACGUUCCCGGGCCUUGCACACACCGCCCGUCA
rnacentral:rRNA from 1 species